rnacentral:rRNA from 1 species
CAGUAGCCGCGGGAAAACGUAGGUGGCAAGCGUUGUCCGGAAUUAUUGGGCGUAAAGGGCUCGCAGGCGGUUUCUUAAGUCUGAUGUGAAAGCCCCCGGCUCAACCGGGGAGGGUCAUUGGAAACUGGGAAACUUGAGUGCAGAAGAGGAGAGUGGAAUUCCACGUGUAGCGGUGAAAUGCGUAGAGAUGUGGAGGAACACCAGUGGCGAAGGCGACUCUCUGGUCUGUAACUGACGCUGAGGAGCGAAAGCGUGGGGAGCGAACAGGAUUAGAGACCCGCGUAGUCCCUGUCUCUUAUAC